CGCCAUUUUGCAUUUUUCUGUCCACUUCGAUGGGCCUCGUGUCGGCUGCCCUCUGCGUCGUACCGUACCCCGCGGUCCUGCUGCUCCAAAUUUCACGCUAACAGUGGCAGCGUUUGACAAACUCGGGCCAGACUUUGGAAGAACUAUGGCUUAAUCCCCCGGCCAGGAGUGCAAAAUGUGAGGCACGCUUCGAGAGACUUUGUUGCCUCCUUCUCGGCAAUUCGUCACGCUCCUUUCCGAACUCCCGGAAUGUAUGCGACGGCCAGCUGGCAUUUCAGCCCUUGGGGCAUCCCGGUUAAGCCGGCGCAGCGUAUAAGUCGCAAGUCGUGCCUGCCGAGUACUCGUUCUUUUGUUUGUGCGCGUUCCCAUUCGUCGGCGACGCCUGGACCAUGAACUGUGGUGGAGCAGCUCUGACCGUGGCUGUUAACGGAGGACUAGCGCGGCAACCCUUCACGGCGAGCGUCGUCACGGCGAGCUUCCAGUCGUCGAGCGUCGUCAGCGCUCACGAGCUAAGUCCUAUAGAUGGUCCCCAAGCUGGCGAGGGUGGCGCACGCCUUAGCUAAGUUAACUGGUUGUUGAGUUCCACUAGUUAGCGCUCGCUAGGAUUGUAUAGCUACAUUUGAAAAUUACGUAAAGUUGUGUUUCUUAACUGUAAGCCCGAGGAGUUUCGUGGGCAUGGCUGCGACCACAGGGGUCUCCUCCGUGCCGGAAUCGAAGAGGACGGGCCACCGUGUUCGGGGUGGCGGCGUGUGUAGCUUCAGGCUUAGCUGACACAAGGCUUAGCUCACACUAGGCAGGCUAGCUGAUAGCCGUCCUCUUUUCGACUGCGGCAGGGACAUGGACCCGUUCCGAAUUGCACUGCGACCCGACCACUAUUUCGUGACAAGGUAGCCCGGGCGCGUCAGUGCUAUCGAGCGAAAUGUGGAAUCAGGGGAGCACUCGGAAUUACCUCGCCAGCUUUUAGCUACUAAUUCUGCUUAAUGCAGCCCUCGACGCCGGACGUCGCCUUCGGUCCUCGUCGGAGCUCGGCCGGGCAGCAGCGACAGGCAUCACUCGUAUCGUGGCCUACCGUGUUCCCUCGUCGGUGUGGUCUUGCUGGCAGGCGAGACCACGGUCAUCGCCCUGCACUACUACAGGAUCCCAACGUUUGCUUUUGCUUGCGGCCCACGAGUAGGAGAAUAUCCAGUGAGCUGCUAGACGUUUGCCAUCCUCCCAACGUCCUCACACGGGAGAUGGCCUUGAGCACCACUCGUACCGUGGCUGGCCGCGUUGGCUCCAUUGCAUUGUACCACCCAUGGCAUCCUGCUGGCAGACGGGGCUUCGUUUGGAGUCCUGCUACUACUGAAUCUUGACCUCUGCUUUCGGUUGCGGCCCACGAGUAGGAUGCCCAUUGUGCUGCUCCACGUCUGCCAUCCUCCCAACGUCCCCAUACAGGAGAUGGCCCUGAGCACCACUUGUACCGUGGCCGACCGCGCUCCAUCGCCGGUGUGCGGUCUUGCUGGCUGACGAGACUGCUCAUCGCCCUGCACUACUACGUGAUCCCAACGUCUGCUUUCGAUUGCGGCCUACGAGUAGGAAGGACAUCAGUGUGCCGCUCUUUGCCAUUCUCCCAACGUACUCCCCCAGGAGAUGGCCUUGAGCACCACUCGCACCGUGGCAGACCGUGUUUGUUACAUUGCAUUCCCACACCGAUGGCGUCCUGCAGGCAGGCUAGACUUGCUCCUACUUCUGAUGUUCGUUUUCGAUGGCGGUGCACGAGGACAAUUUAGGCAGUGUUUCCAAAAGGUG